rnacentral:tRNA from 1 species
GGGACCGUAGCAUAGGCUGGUUAAUGCGACGCUCUGAUAAGGCGUAGAUCGCGCGUUCAAAUCGCGUCGGUCCCACCA